ACUUAUCUUUAUUUGUUUUCUGCGGGAGCCUUUUUGAAUACGUCCUCAUUGCUUUCUGUUCAAUACCCCAUUACAUUUUUUCUGUGCUCUCGCAAAAUAUAACCGUCGGCCUCAAAAUGGUUGCCUGGCUGGCUGACUGCGGGCCCGACCGCCCCAGCGUGAAUCUGUGUAAGUGGCUCUUUGCUCAGGAUUAGAUAGGAAUCCUGUUUCUGAGAUUAGCAGAGGAAGAGACAGCGCUCUUAGGCAGACACAAAAAACCGAGCAAAAAAAAAAAACAACCGCUGAGAAUACACACAUACAUUAGCGCCUGAGAAAAAAAAAAAAAAAGAGAAAGCGGCGGUUCGGCUUGUGGCAGAGGCGGCUGAAAGCAUUACCCGAGCGCGAGAGGAACCGAGAUAAGGACGGUCACGUGAAAAAAAAGAAAGAAGAAAAGUCAUACGACACCAGUCUGUUUAGUCUGGCUUCUCUCGGUUGACAUGGAGAGGCUGACGGAGGCCCGUGUACCGACCCAAGCGCGCCUACUCAACGGUGACACCUCGCGCUCCCCGUCUCAGACGGAGGUGUCACAGCGAUAUGUAAUCCUGCUGGCUUUCAUUCUUUCUCUGCGGUUUAUUCGUCGUUUUUUCUUUUUUUCCCUCAAUGCUGGAGACCGUCAACAGAAAACUGUUGAGAAACGAGAAGGCUGCGAGAGAAGACUUGUUACGCCGCAUGUUCUGCUGUUGCCUGCUACGAGUAUGACAGGGUUCCCCGAUUCUCCUCUCCGUUAUUCCUGUGAAGGACAGCCCUUCACCUUCGUUCUAUUGCUCCUGUGUGGUUCGGUGGCCCUGACAGAUACUUUGUGCUGUUCCCCUCUGUGUGAGAUUGGUCUGUCGAAGGAGUAUAUUUGUUGGCAAACUGUCAUUCUAAAUUGAUAAUAAUAUGAUUUGAUACGUGCAUCAAUUCCUAUUCAGCCAGCAUUAGUGUAGCUUUUGAUGUGGAGGUACUGCAUCAUCAUCAAGUUAAAUGCUGUUUUGUAUUGUAUGGGUUCAAACACAAACACACAGCCUUCACACAGACCUGCAGUACACCUGCCUUCUGCCCAUUUAAGAGCCAAACAUUGGAGUCAAGGUAACACCAGGCCAGGCCAGUGAGGCUACGCUGCCUGAGUUUAAAGAGGGUCGCAAAUGGAGCCCCCGCUGGGGUCCACCCAGACAGGAAGUAGACCUCACGACUCGGGCUAGAAGUCAGAAAAAGCUGACUUUAUAUUCAGACGGUAUAUGCAGUAAUGAAUAAUUAUUCUGAAAGGACUUUAUAGUGAGUCGGCAGAUAUUCUGUGCAUAAGUAGCCAUAAAGUGAACUUCAAAACGAACACUGACUCGAUUUUUUUUGUCAAAAACAUU
ensembl:lncRNA